GUUGCCGUGGCGUAGUGGAUUUGGUGUCCGCCUAGCGAGCGGGAUUCAUUGGUUCGAUCUCCAUUGGCAUCU
rnacentral:tRNA from 1 species